UACGGGGGGAGCAAGCGUUGCUCGGAUUUACUGGGCGUAAAGGGCGCGUAGGCGGCGCAACAAGUCACUUGUGAAAUCUCCGGGCUUAACCCGGAGCGGCCAAGUGAUACUGUCGUGCUAGAGUGCGGAAGGGGCUACUGGAAUUCUCGGUGUAGCGGUGAAAUGCGUAGAUAUCGAGAGGAACACCUGCGGCGAAGGCGGGUAGCUGGGCCGACACUGACGCUGAGGCGCGAAAGCGUGGGGAGCAAACAGG
rnacentral:rRNA from 1 species